ACCAGCUGCCAUGUCACCCUGCAACUCACAACCGCCAGCCCACUGAAGCUAAGCAGGUGUGAGCCUGGUCAGUACCUGGAUGGGAGAACUCCUGGGAAAAAGUAAGGUUGCUGCUGGAA
rfam:Lepisosteus oculatus linkage group LG3, whole genome shotgun sequence.